AUUAAUUCUAAUAUAAUAUAGUAUAUUUGACUUCCAAUCAAAAAGUUUGUUUUUAAACAAGAUUAAUA
rnacentral:tRNA from 1 species